rnacentral:lncRNA from 1 species
UUGUGACUCACGCAAACGCGAAGAGCAAGAGCGAGAAGUUCCCUCCGCCACACCAGGACGGAGCUGUGGGUUACCCGUUGGGAGCUUCCCAUCACAUCGACCCUUCGGUUGUUCCUUCUGAUGUGCCGUUCAGCACCACAUCAUUCACCUACUCAAAAGAGCCGAUCCAGACGUGGUCAGGCCCAUUGGGAGGCGAACCGGCCGGCGGUCACAGGCGAAAGAAGCAUGGGGAUGGCCGAGAGUCUUCGAAGGUCGGAACUAGUCACCGCAAGAGACAUUGAUGGAGAUAGCAGCGUCUGAAGACUGGCUUUUUCUUCAUAGUUUACUUGCAAGGCAAGCAAGACACAAUUUGGUUUGGUGGGAGUUCAAGUCAAAAUUAAUAUACUUUUUUCCCCUUUUCUUUUUUGGUUCCUUCUUUUAAAGGGGUUUUGGGGUAUUUUAUGGGUUACUUGUAUCCUAAGUCACUUACCUCUUAUUAUUUUCCAAUUCAUCAUAGAGAAAAUGGAAUCCCAAUUCUGUUUAUUUAUAGACACUUACUUCCGCGUCUGAGUUCUGUUAAUAACUGGUUAUUUUACUUGCCAAUGUAAAUGUGUACGUAGGCAACGAGCUGCUGCGAAAGCUCAAAAUGAAUCCACGAGGAAGCCACGAAUUCGUGACCGGACAGCUAGGGGAACGGCUGCUCCGGAAGCCAAUGCAGAGCUACAAUCCAAUAUUGAUGUAAGCCUGAAACAUUUCCCUUUCUCAUUGAAGCUAUAACCUGGAAAGUCCUAGUGAAUUGGGUUACUAAUGAAUUCCUUGUGCUUUCUUUGAAACGAUCAGAGGAGGCGCCUUGUGACUCACGCAAACGCGAAGAGCAAGAGCGAGAAGUUCCCUCCGCCACACCAGGACGGAGCUGUGGGUUACCCGUUGGGAGCUUCCCAUCACAUCGACCCUUCGGUUGUUCCUUCUGAUGUGCCGUUCAGCACCACAUCAUUCACCUACUCAAAAGAGCCGAUCCAGACGUGGUCAGGCCCAUUGGGAGGCGAACCGGCCGGCGGGCACAGGCGAAAGAAGCAUGGGGAUGGCCGAGAGUCUUCGAAGGUCGGAACUAGUCACCGCAAGAGACAUUGAUGGAGAUAGCAGCGUCUGAAGACUGGCUUUUUCUUCAUAGUUUACUUGCAAGGCAAGCAAGACACAAUUUGGUUUGGUGGGAGUUCAAGUCAAAAUUAAUAUACUUUUUUCCCCUUUUCUUUUUUGGUUCCUUCUUUUAAAGGGGUUUUGGGGUAUUUUAUGGGUUACUUGUAUCCUAAGUCACUUACCUCUUAUUAUUUUCCAAUUCAUCAUAGAGAAAAUGGAAUCCCAAUUCUGUUUUUUUUUUGUAAUUUUCAAUUUUUUCUAUGUAUUUGGGAGAGACUAUGAGAAAGUUUCAUUGUUGUGUAUAAGUAUAUUAUUUUUGUUUUGGGGCAAGAAAUUAUUUUUGUUAGUCAUUCGGGUCGAAUCUUAUUAAUACGACUAGACUCUGAUAAUGUGAUCCUAUCACGUGUAAAUAUUACACAUACAAACAUUUAAAUGCAUAAUUAUUUGGGAGAACGAGCGAUUGGAUAUUAAAGAGUCUUGAACUUUAAAUUAAAAUGUAGAUAAAAAUGUAUCAG